ensembl:lncRNA
CAACAUCACUUUCAACAAUGUAUUUAUUUAGUCUCCACCUAGAGUGGCCUCUUUCCUCUGCGGCGGUGCUGUAUUGCACUCAGCGAUGUUUUCUCUCGGUAGCUGUCCAUGUUCCAGAAAUCAAAUCAUCCGAGUUUGCUUGAACAUCAGCCUGAUGUCCAGCUUCUUCCACCUCUGGAAACUAUCUAGGUGGUCAUGCGACUUCUCAUUCGAGCUGAGGUGGCACAGAUUCUUCCAGUCCCUGGUUCCAUCCCUGACCAGCGCAGAUUUGCAUUCGUGUGAAAAAACAGAAGGCUGCAUCGUUUUGCUUGGAAUAGACAAGCCUUUGUCUCUCCACUUUCUCCCCGUUCGCCAUCGGGCCACCGAAAACUUUCGUUGCCCCUCAUCUCUUGGGAAAUUCCCCUCCUUAUCCUGAUGUGGCCCAGCCUGCACUAACAUAUCCCCUUCUAUUUUGCAUCAUUCCAGGAAUCCCUCAAGAAGAAAUCACAGCACCCCCACCCCCAAACAUCUUCCCAUGGCUAUGCCACUAUGCACCUCCAUAAGCUGUCCAAACAAGAGAGGCAGAGCGAGAGAGGCAAGGCGAGCAGGGAUAUGAAGUGCCAUCAUCAGUCCAGGAGAAUGUGAACAACACGAUAACAGACGGGCAUCAGAGGGGAAGCAACAAGAUGACAAGAAUUCAAGUGACAUGGCACAUGAUGUCUGAUGUGGCCUGAUUGUUUCAGUCAGGCUAGAGCCUGGGACAGUCCAGUGACUGACACAGUGCAUUCUUAGAAAAAAAGGUGUUUUCUAGAACCAAAGGGUUCUUUGGCUGUCCCCAUAGCAGAACCCUUUGAAGAAUCCCUUUUGGGUUCCAUGUAGAACACUUUUAAAUGGAACCCAAAAUGGUUCUACCUGCAACCAAAAAAGGUUCACCUAUGGGGACAGCCAAAGAACCCUUUUGGAACAUUUUGAUAGCUAUUGAGAUUUUAGACAGCUUUCAUCCCUCCAAGUAUUUACAGCCCUGUUGCCCCCUCCUGUGCUGAGAGAGUGGGAGUGCAGAUAGAUACCACAUCUCCCUG